UACGUAGGGACCGAGCGUUGUCCGGAUUUAUUGGGCGUAAAGAGCGUGUAGGCGGCCAGGUAGGUGGGUUGUGAAAACUGGAGGCUCAACCUUCAGACGUCGACCCAAACCCCCUGGCUAGAGUCCGGAAGGAGGAGAGUGGAAUUCCUGGUGUAGCGGUGAAAUGCGCAGAUAUCAGGAGGAACACCGGUGGCGAAGGCGGGUCUCUGGGCCGAUACUGACGCUGAGGAGCGAAAGCGUGGGGAGCGAAUAGG
rnacentral:rRNA from 1 species